rnacentral:rRNA from 1 species
UGGCUUAUGGUGAAUGCCUUGGCACUUCGAGGCGAUGAAGGACGUGAAAAGCUGCGAUAAGCGGCGGUGAGGAGCACUUAUCCUAUGACCCGCCGAUCUCCGAAUGGGGGAACCCUAUAUACUGCUAUCUGAAUUCAUAGGAUAGUAAGAGCCAACCUGGGGAAGUGAACCAUCUCAGUACCCAGAGGAAAAGAAAACAACA